UGAAGUCCAAGAGCUUGCAGACUUUGCUAAUUCAAAUGGAAUUUCUAGGUUUGAAUGGAAAAUCUGCCGAAGAAUAUCCAGAAGAAAAACUUCCUGCACUCAGGUACACUUGGCAUGUGCCAUAUCAGACUCCAUACACACCCCCAGUAGAGGAGAAGGACACUCCUCCCUGCCUAUGCCAAAGUCUCUCAUUGGCAAUUUGGAAGGGAGGCAGAGAAAUGAAGCAGAUCCAGAAUUCUUUUAGUACCUCCAAGUGCCUAGCCUGACAGACUCUGCCUACAGGCCAAGCCAUC
rnacentral:lncRNA from 1 species